rnacentral:rRNA from 1 species
AUUGAACGCUGGCGGCAUGCUUUACACAUGCAAGUCGAACGGUAACAGCACUUCGGUGGCUGACGAGUGGCGAACGGGUGAGUAAUACAUCGGAACGUGCCUAGUAGUGGGGGAUAACUACUCGAAAGAGUAGCUAAUACCGCAUGAGAUCUAAGGAUGAAAGCAGGGGACCUUCGGGCCUUGCGCUACUAGAGCGGCUGAUGGCAGAUUAGGUAGUUGGUGGGAUAAAAGCUUACCAAGCCGACGAUCUGUAGCUGGUCUGAGAGGACGACCAGCCACACUGGGACUGAGACACGGCCCAGACUCCUACGGGAGGCAGCAGUGGGGAAUUGUGGACAAUGGGCGCAAGCCUGAUCCAGCAAUGCCGCGUGCAGGAUGAAGGCCUUCGGGUUGUAAACUGCUUUUGUACGGAACGAAAAGCCCUCUUCUAAUACAGGAGGGUCAUGACGGUACCGUAAGAAUAAGCACCGGCUAACUACGUG